CGAAAGAUGGUGAAAUGAGAUGGACAUCAUUACCCUAGGUGCAUGUAUGACUGCACAUAUGGUGAGACGCUACAUUGUGUACAAUCAUAGAAAUGUAAAGUUGUGCUGCAAUUGUGUACAAUGAAUCAAAAUGCAUUCUGCUGUCAUAUAUACCUAAUUAAAAUAAAUUAAUUACUAAAAAAGUUUAAAAAAUUAAUGAGUACUUUAUGCCUGGAUGUCUCAAGAUCCAGCAAAUCUCUUACAUUAUUUCACUUAAUUUUACAUCAACUUAAUUAAAUUUCUACUUUUGAUUUCCUCAUUUGACAAAUGAGAAAACAGAUUUUAAAAGUUUAAUUACUUGCUCAAGGUCAGGAUUCACAGCAUUGGAUCAAAGAUUUGAAUGCUAUAUUUUUAAAAAAAUAUUAUUCAGCACUUAUUGUUUUCUAUAAUCCUUUGACGGUUAGUAUUCUCCUUCCAUGAUUGAGAAAACUGAGGCUGAGAGAAAAAAGAAACAAUAGACUAUAAACUGCCCAGGAAAUUAGUGCCAGGUCUAAACUAUUCAGUUAGGAGCUCAGGUCUUUUUAAAUACAACCUUAAAGUGGUUUGCAUUCAAUUCAUUUAAUUUUCUGUAAUUGUAGUUUCUUGAAAAUUUUAAUAUAAAUACUACAGUAGACACUGCUUUAUGUAACUCUUUUCCACUUACACACUAUAUGUCUAUUGUAAAUCAGAAGCCAGAAUUAUACCAGGAAAAGAUAAAAUUAAGCUCCAAUAAAUGUGAUUUGUUUAAUUAAUAAUAUACCCAUGGAAAGAAGGAUCAAAAAUCUAUUUGUAUAUGGGAGCAGUGGCUUCAUGGAGAAAUCUCUGUUCCCUCCUCUCAAUUUUGCUGUGAGCCUUAAACUGGUUACUAACAUACUCAGAGGAUAACAACUUUGUGCAUAUUUUGUCACCUGCCUAGGUAUCAAUUAUUCUUGCAAAAAAUGCAGAACCAUUUUGCAGCUAAAGGUUAUUUGUAAACAUGGUUUUCCUUUGGCUUCUGAACAGUGCUAUCUACUGGACUUGGUUUAUAUUUCCCCUUAUCUACACAAUAUCCUCCCUGGCAGUGGCAUGCACUGCAGAUAAAAUUCACUCAUAUCUGUUGUGGCUUUAGGGAAAUCAAGAGGUUGAAAACCUGAAGGGCACAUUACACUUCAGUUUUGGCUCUAUCAAUAUCAUCAAGUUUAAAUUUUUAUUAAUUUUUAUUUUACAAUAAAAUAAAGUACAGAUGAUGACCCAGGAGAUUCAAACUGAAAAUGACAAGAAGUUCAACUUGUGGCCACAGAAUGAUUUAUAAUGUAAAACAGCAGGAGAUUGGUUAAAAGUGAAUAUUGUAGCCAAGAGCAAUGGUACAUACCUAUAAUCCCAGCAAUUCGGGAUACUGAUGUAGAAGAAUCAAAGUUCAAAACCAGACUCAGCAACUAUAAAUAUUUUAAAAGGGCUGGUGGUGUAGCUUGAUUGUAGAGCAUCCUGGAUUCAAUUCCCAGAAUCACAGGUGGAAAAAAAAAUUAUUAUCUUAUUCCAUUUUUAGAAGGCAAUUUUCAUUUCUGUUUAUCAAAGCACUUAUAAGAAUUAAGUUUCACUUACAUCCAAAAAUGAGCCAGGUUAAGUUUUGCUUAUGUGGCCUCAAUGGUUAUGUCUCUGCUCAGGGAACUCUUGAACUAUUCUCCACUUUAUUUUAACAGUUUCACAAUCAAUCAAGCUUUCAUGAAGUGGACUUACCUCUUCAGUAAUUGAAGUGAGGUAUACUCAGGUUUCACCUCUGCUGAUUUUGUGUUUCUAUUGGCUGCAGUAUCAGAAGUUCCAAUACCUGGACUCUGUGUUUAUGCGGCACAGGACAUUCAUUUUGCAGGCAUGAAUGCAAUUGAAAUAGUGUGGCAAUAUACCCAACAGUUAAGCAACAACUACCUAAUUCCCUAAAUUCUUGGUCUUGGCAGAAAUAACCACUUACUUAUGCUUGGUCAUUACAGUAAAAUAUUUAGGAGUACAAAUUUAGGAGCUCUACUCCCUGGGGCAAGUAGUUAGCUCUGCCUCUUACUAGUCAUAUGACUACAUAUAUUUUUAACUGUAAUUUUUUUAAAAUUAAAGUAUUUAAUAUAUGUAAAACUUGUUGAAUGAAUCCUGGGCCACAGAAAGUACUGUGUAUCUAAAUUUUAUUGCAAUGCUUUUAUGGGAAUAAUUAUUGUAAGCUCAACCUUAUCUCCAUCCCUUUCAACAAUUUUGUAAGCAUCCAAUUUCCCACAUUAAAUCUCUUUUUGCUCAAACUACAUAAAAUCGAUUUUAUUGUCUUUAAUUUAACAUUAACUGACAAACUGGUCAUUCUAUUUUCUCUUGGGUACUGGUUAUUUAAUUACAAAUGUUCGAGAAAUUAGAGGAAAUUAGUUUAAAGGCUAAAAAGGAUUCUGUAAUUUAGUUAUAAAGGCAAGAUUUGGAUCCACAUCAGUAAGGUAAAUUAUUUCUAAAAAAUUUUUCCUAGUCAUGCUUCUUCAGGCACAACCCUUUAAAACUAUUGUAUUUAAUAGCUCACACCACUAACUUUCUAUCUUCAUGUUGCUAAAUUGGCAAAAGGCAUCACCCAGAAAAUCUUUCUCAAAAUCGGAUUACAGCAAUGGAAUUUUCUCUAUUAUAUUCAUUUAUUCUUGAAAGUGAACUCUAGAUCCAGGUAUUGCACUGUAAAUCCCAUACUUCCAUUGAGAUUAAAUAAGCAUCUUAAACUUAAUAGGAAUUCCUUACUCAGUCUCAAUAUUCAGCAAAUGGUGCUGUUAUGCACCCAGUCACCGGGAUCAAAAACCAACAUUCGAAAUUCUUCACAAUUUCCCUCAAGCUCCAAACACAACCCAUCUGAUUUCUGGCCUUACUUUCAAAAUCACAAAUAAUCUUUUAUCACCAAACUCUCAGCAAAGCAGUUUCACUGAAGGAAACUGUCAUACAAUUCAUUUCAGAAAGCAUUGCAUAUUCUCUAAAAAAUGCUGAAAUCUCACUUGAGGACUCUGACAUAUCUGACGCCUUUCCUUUGAUAAUCUUCCUUGGUCUUGCAUGGCUGAUUUUCUCACUUCACUUUGAAUGGUUUUCAAAUGUCACUUUCUCCAAGCAUCCUCCCCUGAGUAGUGCAUCUAAGAUACCCCAAAUGCCUGUCCUUGGUGUUUUCUAACUCCUUCCCUUUCCUUUCUCU
rnacentral:lncRNA from 1 species